GCUUGCUACCGGACUAAGGNCGGACUGGUGAGUAAUGCUUAGGAAUCUGCCUAUUAGUGGGGGACAACAUCUCGAAAGGGAUGCUAAUACCGCAUACGUCCUACGGGAGAAAGCAGGGGAUCUUCGGACCUUGCGCUAAUAGAUGAGCCUAAGUCGGAUUAGCUAGUUGGUGGGGUAAAGGCCUACCAAGGCGACGAUCUGUAGCGGGUCUGAGAGGAUGAUCCGCCACACUGGGACUGAGACACGGCCCAGACUCCUACGGGAGGCAGCAGUGGGGAAUAUUGGACAAUGGGGGGAACCCUGAUCCAGCCAUGCCGCGUGUGUGAAGAAGGCCUUAUGGUUGUAAAGCACUUUAAGCGAGGAGGAGGCUACUUUAGUUAAUACCUAGAGAUAGUGGACGUUACUCGCAGAAUAAGCACCGGCUAACUCUGUGCCAGCAGCCGGGGUAAUACAGAGGGUGGGAAGCCGUUAACAUCGGAUUUACAUGGGCCGUUAAGCGUUGGCGUAGGCGGUUAUAAAUCGGAUGUGAAAUCCCCGAACUACUUGGAUUGAUUCAAAUUGUGACUAAUAUGGAAAGAUUGUAAAAAUCCAGUGUUCACCGGUGAAAUGCUUAAAGAUUUGGGGAAUACCGAUUGGGAAAGGCCACCAUUUUGGCCUNACUACUGACCUUAGUNCCAAAAGCUUGGGAACAAACGGANUAAAUACCUGGUAUCUUCCCUAAAAAUGUCUAUAACCAUGGGCUUGAG
rnacentral:rRNA from 1 species